UGCAGUCGAGCGGAACGAUCCUAGCUUGCUAGGAGGCGUCGAGCGGCGGACGGGUGAGUAACGCGUGAGAAUCUACCCAUGAGUGGGGGACAACCCGGGGAAACUCGGGCUAAUACCGCAUACGCCCUACGGGGUAAAGCAGGGGACCUUCGGGCCUUGCGCUGAUGGAUGAGCUCGCGUCGGAUUAGCUUGUUGGUGAGGUAAAGGCUCACCAAGGCGACGAUCCGUAGCUGGUCUGAGAGGAUGAUCAGCCACACCGGGACUGAGACACGGCCCGGACUCCUACGGGAGGCAGCAGUGGGGAAUCUUGGACAAUGGGGGCAACCCUGAUCCAGCCAUGCCGCGUGUGUGAAGAAGGCCUUCGGGUUGUAAAGCACUUUCAGCAGGGAGGAAGGCUUACCCCUAAUACGGGUGAGUACUUGACGUUACCUGCAGAAGAAGCACCGGCUAAUUUCGUGCCAGCAGCCGCGGUAAUACGAAAGGUGCAAGCGUUAAUCGGAAUUACUGGGCGUAAAGCGCGCGUAGGCGGUGUGUUAAGUCGGAUGUGAAAGCCCAGGGCUCAACCUUGGAAUUGCAUCCGAUACUGGCACGCUAGAGUGCAGUAGAGGGAGGUGGAAUUUCCGGUGUAGCGGUGAAAUGCGUAGAGAUCGGAAGGAACACC
rnacentral:rRNA from 1 species